CAGUCGCCGCGGUAAUACGAAGGGUGCAAGCGUUACUCGGAAUUACUGGGCGUAAAGCGUGCGUAGGUGGUGGUUUAAGUCCGUUGUGAAAGCCCUGGGCUCAACCUGGGAAUUGCAGUGGAUACUGGGUCACUAGAGUGUGGUAGAGGAUAGUGGAAUUUCCGGUGUAGCAGUGAAAUGCGUAGAGAUCGGAAGGAACAUCUGUGGCGAAGGCGACUAUCUGGGCCAACACUGACACUGAGGCACGAAAGCGUGGGGAGCAAACAGGAUUAGAUACCCCGGUAGUCCCUGUCUCUUAACA
rnacentral:rRNA from 1 species